rnacentral:lncRNA from 1 species
AAGGACUCGUUACAAGAGUGGUUUGAGUGAAGUCAGCUGAUCAAAACACUAGCUUGUUUCAUCCUAAGUUAUACUGUCUCAGAAGAGCCUCUUUGUUUCUACUUUGUACAUAGCAAGACUUAAUUUUACCCUCAUUUAUAAUUAAUUUUCUAAAACAAACCACCUUUGGAGUUGUUGCUUUGUUUGGCAUAUCCUGAAGAGUGUAAAGAUAGCAAUGUAUGUGAAUAGAUGUCACAUGUGCUUUCCAGAAAUAAGUUGGGGUGUGGCUGUGAAGUCACAGUUGAGCACUGACAUUGCCUCACUUCCUGCUCCUUGCUCUACUCUCCCUCUGGAGCUUUCGGCACACAGGGUCACCCCUGAUGCUGGUCAUCAUCAUUGCUAUGGGGAACGAAUAGCAUUUUGAUUUCUCAGCCCUGACUGCUAGGGUUUACUGAGUGUGAAUUCUAUAUGGAGCUGAGAUCUGUGAAUCAGCAACUAAGAGAAUCAAGCCUUUUGCAUUUGAUAAGAAUGGACAUGGUUUUCCUGAAGUAUCUAAUUUAGAUGACAUGAUCCUGGACUUGAAAUUGAACCUGAAGAGGUGACAGAGGAGAUAUUUGAGGUUCUUUGGAGGGGGAGGAGCUCAUUCUUCUGGACCUGGCUUCACUGCAACGGGCAGUAUGAGAAGGUGCUAUCCCAGGAGUAUUGCACCAUUUGCCUCACAUGUAUUCUCUCUUCUGACUAUCAAACAAUUCAUGAUAGAGAUCACUGUUAAAUUUCAC